GUCAUGUGACUUCAGGGGCGGAGCUACCGAGCUGUUCCUAUGGAGGAGAAGGAGUCAUUCUGACAGCUGGAAGCCAGGAUUACACAAUAGUGGACUUCUGUUACUCCCAUCAUCCAUCUCCAUGAGUCAGGUGGGUGGAGCCGGACUCCUCACCCUCUGCCACAUGAGCAGAAGAUCCUAGGACUCACCAGCAAGAUCACUGAGCUGCUGACUGGAGAGGUUCCUUUAAGGUGUCAGGAUGUCCAUGGAGAAGUGGGAGUAUAUAGAAGGACUCAAGGAUCGGUACGAGGACGCCAUGAUGGAGGAUCACCGACCCGUCACAUCACCGGAUGGAUCCAGGAGGAGAAAUACUU